rnacentral:ncRNA from 1 species
CCGAGGAAUUCGGCUAGACUUGUUAAAAUUUAAACUUUAUUUUGUUUUAAUUAUAAUUAUGUUUAAAAUUUUUAUGUAAUUAUAGGUUAAAUUUUAAUUAUUUAAAAUGUAUAGUUGUAAUUUUAAAUUUUGUUAAUCGAAUUAGAUUAGUACCUAAUUAGUCAAAAGUUAAAAAAGCAGAAGUAAAGUAAAAUUUAAACUGAAAGAAUAUUGGCAGAUUUUCUAAAUUAUCUUUGGAGGUUGAGUAAUAAUUGAGAACCCUCAUUAACUACUUUUUUAGUUGUCUCAUGUAUGAUCGUUUAUUAUAUGCUUAAGGGAUAUAAUUAAAAAUUUUUAUUUAAAAAAAUAGAUAUAUAUUUGGUUUAUAUAAAAGUAAUAUUUGACCUACAAUAAUUUGUAAUUGUGGAUCUAUUUUUUAGUGAAUUAGUGAAAAUGUAAAAGACAGUAAAAAAAUUUUUAUGAUUUUUUGAAGAUUAUUUAGAAGUGGUACAAAUCAUCCAUCAAUUGCCUAAAGGGGAGUAAGUUGAAAAAAAGAU